rnacentral:rRNA from 1 species
GCAGCCGCCGCGGUAAUACGAAGGGGGCUAGCGUUGCUCGGAAUCACUGGGCGUAAAGGGUGCGUAGGCGGGUCUUUAAGUCAGAGGUGAAAGCCUGGAGCUCAACUCCAGAGCUGCCUUUGAUACUGGAGAUCUCGAGUUCGGGAGAGGUGAGUGGAACUGCGAGUGUAGAGGUGAAAUUCGUAGAUAUUCGCAAGAACACCAGUGGCGAAGGCGGCUCACUGGCCCGAUACUGACGCUGAGGCACGAAAGCGUGGGGAGCAAACAGGAUUAGAUACCCGCGUAGUCCCUGUCUCUUAUAC